rnacentral:rRNA from 1 species
GACGAACGCUGGCGGCGUGCUUAACACAUGCAAGUCGAACGGAAAGGCUCCAGCUUGCUGGAGUACUCGAGUGGCGAACGGGUGAGUAACACGUGGGUAAUCUGCCCUGCACUCUGGGAUAAGCCUGGGAAACUGGGUCUAAUACUGGAUAUGACCUUUCUCCUUAUGGGGUUUGGUGGAAAGUUUUUCGGUGUAGGGUGAGCCCGCGGCCUAUCAGCUUGUUGGUGGGGUGAUGGCCUACCAAGGCGACGACGGGUAGCCGGCCUGAGAGGGUGAUCGGCCACAUUGGGACUAAGAUACGGCCCAGACUCCUACGGGAGGCAGCAGUGGGGAAUAUUGCACAAUGGGCGGAAGCCUGAUGCAGCGACGCCGCGUGAGGGAUGACGGCCUUCGGGUUGUAAACCUCUUUCAGCAGGGACGAAGCGUAAGUGACGGUACCUGCAGAAGAAGCACCGGCUAACUAUGUG